UACGUAGGUGGCAAGCGUUGUUCGGAAUUAUUGGGCGUAAAGAGCGUGUAGGCGGCUCGAUAAGUCUGCUGUGAAAGUCCAGGGCUCAACCCUGGAAGGCCGGUGGAAACUGUCGGGCUAGAGUCCGGAAGAGGCGAGUGGAAUUCCCGGUGUAGCGGUGAAAUGCGCAGAUAUCGGGAGGAACACCAAUGGCGAAGGCAGCUCGCUGGGACGGUACUGACGCUGAGACGCGAAAGCGUGGGGAGCGAACAGG
rnacentral:rRNA from 1 species